rnacentral:lncRNA from 1 species
CUCUUGGCGACUCAUGGCCACGGACGUCCUCCCGGAGCUGUCUGCCCACAAGCCACUUCAUACCUGAGAAUCAGGCAGUGAGGAAAACGUCUGCUAUUUCCAGGCUUUCAUGUGAGGACCUCUUGGGGCUAACAAGGUGAAGGACUCUUUGAAGCAAUUUGUAGGAUGCCAUUGAUUCCUUGGGAAUCUGCUACAGGGACACAUGCAGAAGAACGUUAAGAUGGUCAAAGUCCUAGCGGAUUCUAAGAAAGAGUAUUCCCGGAGUCAGAUGCAGAAGGUAAAGAUGUCCUUCCCUUCGAUUCUUCGAUUCUCCUUACUGAUGAAAG